CACAGGGGGUGGCCUGAAGCCCGCCCUGCUCAUCCCUGAGUGAAAGGCAACUGGGCUGGACCCGGAUAAGGGCGGAAGGACUUGGAGUGGCCCUCAGAUUCCGUCUCUCUCUUCACCUGCCUUCCUGAAGGAGACACCAAGGCUCACAGAAGCUGACUAAUUUGCUAAAAUUUAGCUAGCAAGUGGCUGGGCUGGAGAUGAGUCUGCUGCCCUCUUUCUUGGAUACUGUGAAGGGGGAAAUCAUUUCAGAAGCACAGAGAAGCGACGAGAAGCAAAUUUGCAGUAACAUGGAAUGAUCUGGCUUCAUUCAUAAGUGUAAACGUGUGUGUUGGGCCACACUCUGGCCCUGAGAACCAUCUGGAAGCAUGUGGAGGACUCUCAGGACAUUGCUCCCAGCCCUGCUCCUGUCCAGAGUGGCCUUAGUGUCUCCCCGUCCCUCCCUCCAGGCCCUCUGCCAUCCGAUGACCUUGGAUCUGCACAUCUGGAAAAUGGGGAGGGGGACCAGGAAGAGCCCAGUCUUAGGGGGUUGCUUUCAGGACCCUGGCACCCGGCGAAGCUGUGACUACGAGGUGACGGAGAAACCCCCAGAUCUGAAAGGAAAGCAGGCUGGUUGCCCACUGUCCCCAUCUGUGAAACUUCCCAUCUCCCGCGUCCCCAGGCCUCUUCUUGACGCAGCACUCGGCUUUUUCUCCGCGACUUGUGAUCAUUGAAAGUUUUUCUUAAAAUCAACUUGUUUUCUAAACAAUUUUAAUUGAGGUUCUUUUCUGAUCCCGCCCUCCUCCUCCCCCACCCACUUUGGGGAAAGAACAGAAAAUUGACUUAAAGGGACAGCAUGGAGUCCCCGAGGUUCCGGCCCCGGCCUGGCCCUCUCCUCACGCGCGCUGGGGAUCAAGCCCAGGCCCUGAGCAUGCGAGGCAAGCCUCUGCCACCAGCAGGUGUGAGGUGUCACAGACAGCCUGGCACCCAGUGGGGGCUUUUACGUCUAAGUGAUCAGAUCCGAAAGAGAACCCUAGGUCAAUCCAUACAGUAAACGGAACAGGAUGGCCAGGGUCCAGGGCAAGCCAGGGUGAUUUUGGUUCCGGCCGCGGCCGUGCACUGGAUCUGCAGUAAGCUCUGUUUCUUCAGUGU